rnacentral:rRNA from 1 species
UACGGAGGGUGCAAGCGUUAUCCGGAUUCACUGGGUUUAAAGGGUGCGUAGGUGGGCAGGUAAGUCAGUGGUGAAAUCUCUGGGCUUAACCCAGAAACUGCCGUUGAUACUAUCUGUCUUGAAUGUAGUGGAGGUGAGCGGAAUAUGUCAUGUAGCGGUGAAAUGCUUAGAUAUGACAUAGAACACCUAUUGCGAAGGCAGCUCGCUACACUAUUAUUGACACUGAGGCACGAAAGCGUGGGGAUCAAACAGG